rnacentral:lncRNA from 1 species
AAUGGGACCAGCAAAGAAUGAUUCUGCAUUGCACAGGGUAGGCAAGAACACCUGCUAAUUGGCUCACUGCUAUAACCUAUGCGGCCAGAAAGUAGAUCUAGUGGGGAGCCAAAAAGGAAAUGGCAAUACAUUGGGAGGAUUAUCCAAAGCAAUUAAUAAAACCACUUUUUGUUUUUGCUCCAGUUUUGAGAAAGAGUCAGCCUUGUUCACCCUGGCUGAUGAAGGGCUCUUGAAAUUGGACACAGGCAUGCUCCCUGUGAAGUGGAAGUGGAAAGUCACCCUUGGUUCCUCAGAGAAAAGGAAAGAUAUGAACCAUUUCCAGGGAUUCAGCUUUAAAUCUCACUACUAAAAUCAAGGACAGAUCCUGAAGCUGAGGCUCCAAUACUUUGGCCAUCUCAUGAGAAGAGAAGUCUCCCUGGAAAAGACCCUGAUGUUGGGAAAGUGUGAAGGCAAGAGGAGAAGGGGACGAUAGAGGAUGGUUGGACAUUGUCAUCAAAGCUACCAACAUGAAUUUGACCCAACUCUGGGAGGCAGUGGAAGAAAGGAGGGCCUGGUGUGCUCUGGUCCAUAGGGUCACGAAGAGUUGGACGUGACUUAAUGACUAAACAACAGCAACAAUUAAAAUCAAGAUAUAGGCUGUUCUCCAUUAAUUUUAGCAAGGAGUUUUGACUGACUCAGGAAUAAGCUGACUUGUUGGGUUUUUCUUAAAGCAACAACAAAACUGAUUUUGGGAGAAGCAGUUUACUUUAACUGGCUGGACAGCUCUAUGAGCUGGAGUACCAGGCUGUGGGACAAGGGAUCAGGACAGGAGCUUGAUUCCCUACCAUGCCUCCUGGGAGAACAUGUGCAAACUGCACCGUCCCAAAGCAACCCCAGGAGGAGGGAUUAGUAAACCACUUGUGAGUAUUAUAUAUAGAAACAUUGCCUUGAAGUCAAUUAGUUUAUUUUAUUUCUGAGUCAGUUCUAUGUGAACCAUGAUUUCUUCCCCAACACUACUAAUAUGUAGUAACAGAACAACAUCAACACGCUCAGCAUUAUAAGCCUCUUAACUAUCAUAAGAUUUGAAUAAGAUCAUGACAACUUUCAAGUAAGCAAAGGAGGGGCACUUCUUUAAAAUGUUUUCCACUUCAUAUCAUGAAAUAGUCCAGCUUUGAACUCAUUAGGAGUAUAUAUAUUAAAUAAGACUGAAGUGUCUCCUAAAUCCAGAAUGGAUGUGUGUUUACUCCAUGGCUUCAGAGCUAAUAAAGAUUUCUUUGUAAGGCA